GUCUGGUGGUGGUCGAUUUAGUCGUUCGUCUCGUCUGAAUGUCAAUUUUAAGCUUCGUGGUCAAAAGGCUGGUGUGUAGUUGGAUUUUUGGAGAACCAGGGGUGAAACCAUGAGGGAGGAAUGGUGAAAUUACCAGCCACUACAGAAAACGGGAAUUGCUUCAAUGUCUGUUUGCAGUCUAGGGUUUAUCUUAAGUUUAGGGAAUAUUUUUUAUGUUGGUCAACUGUAUAACAGUAUGAAGUAGUGAGGGCACAGGAAAACUACUAUGAUUGAUAGUCAAUGAUGCAGUUCAUUUCUUUUGGUGUGGACACAACGAGCAUUAUGGCCAUUAUCUGCACCAACCUGUUGAUUUGGGGGGUGGGGGGAGGGGCAGGUGUUGCAUAACAUGACAGUUCAGGGAAAAUGUAUCGGUUGUUUGCCCCAUAUCUUAUGCCAUUUGGCGUUUGUUUAGUGUUAACAGUUUUUAAAAAAGUCAUUCUAUUUGUUGUUUUCUUUUCUUUGGAUUAAUAUUUAAGUGUCGCUUUCUAAUGUCGGAAAAGUUUAAAGUUUUAGUCGUAUGUUCUGGUGACGCUUUGGAAAGUAAUAAGUUCUGAUACCAAGUAAAGAAAAUCCACAUCAACUUUUAAAAUCCGACAUUAGAAGUGGACGGUUUCACACGACACGACUAGUAAUGGAAUAUUUUGAAGUCUGAGAUCAAAACAAACUUAUUAUAUUAAUCCAAAGAAAUUAAUUAACUAGUAUUAUCUCAACAAACGCCUAAGCGCCAUUGGCCAAAAUGCGUGAUCGACAUUUUAGAUAGUAGUUGAGGGAUUUGGAAUUUAUUUUGGAAACUCGCGUGUUGUGUACUCGUGUGCUCUUUUGGACAUGUGCUGUUUACUACAGGAAAUAUCAUAGAAAUUGAAAAAUUGGGUAAACAUUUGAUGUCCUUAGAAAGGCUUUUGAUCCAUGAUUUCUCAAGAUUUUACGCGAGUUUUUUUUUUUUUUCUUUGUCCAUUUUUUCAAUGUCAUUAUUUCUGGGAGAUAUAAAUAUUCGGGGGGGGGGGAAGACAAAUGACGGGAGCAGUAUACUUAAAAUAAAAUAUCUUCUAUAACUAAGCGAUUUAUGUUAAUCUAGCCGAGUUUUAUAAUAAAAUGAAGAAAGUAAAGUUGUAA